UACGGGGGGAGCAAGCGUUGUUCGGAUUUACUGGGCGUAAAGGGCGCGUAGGCGGCGCGACAAGUCACUUGUGAAAUCUCUGGGCUCAACCCAGAACGGUCAAGUGAUACUGUCGUGCUAGAGUGCGGAAGGGGCAACUGGAAUUCUUGGUGUAGCGGUGAAAUGCGUAUAUAUCAAGAGGAACACCUGCGGCGAAGGCGGGUUGCUGGGCCGACACUGACGCUGAGGCGCGAAAGCUAGGGGAGCGAACGGG
rnacentral:rRNA from 1 species